rnacentral:rRNA from 1 species
GUCGAACGAGAAAGUGGAGCAAUCCAUGAGUAAAGUGGCGCACGGGUGAGUAACACGUGACUAACCUACCCUGGAGUGGGGGAUAACUGAGGGAAACCUUAGCUAAUACCGCAUAACACCUACGGGUCAAAGGAGCAAUUCGCUUUAGGAGGGGGUCGCGGCAGAUUAGCUAGUUGGCGGGGUAAUGGCCCACCAAGGCAGUGAUCUGUAUCCGGCCUGAGAGGGCGCACGGACACACUGGAACUGAAACACGGUCCAGACUCCUACGGGAGGCAGCAGUGGGGAAUUUUGCGCAAUGGGGGAAACCCUGACGCAGCAACGCCGCGUGGAGGAUGAAGUCUCUUGGGACGUAAACUCCUUUCGAUUGGGAAGAUUAUGACGGUACCAAUAGAAGAAGCCCCGGCUAACUUCGUGCCAGCAGCCGCGGUAAUACGAGGGGGGCAAGCGUUGUUCGGAAUUAUUGGGCGUAAAGGGUGCGUAGGCGGUUUGGUAAGUCUUGUGUGAAAUCUUCGGGCUCAACUCGAAGUCUGCACGAGAAACUGCCGGGCUUGAGUGUGGGAGAGGUGAGUGGAAUUUCCGGUGUAGGGUGAAAUGCGUAGAUAUCGGAAGGAACACCUGUGGCGAAAGCGGCUCACUGGACCACAACUGACGCUGAGGCACGAAAGCUAGGGGAGCAAACAGGAUUAGAUACCCUGGUAGUCCUAGCCCUAAACGAUGAUCGCUUG